UCAUAGCUGGACUUGGUAAUGUGCAA
rnacentral:misc_RNA from 1 species